GUAGUCCUACCUGAUUUGAGGUCAAAUUGUCAUAUAUUGUCUGAAUGAACAGACGAUUAUAAGCAGUGCUAUAAACGGCAAAUAGCCCACGGCGUAGAUAAUUAUCACACCAAUAGACAUGUUCGCACAAGGCAACCAGCUAAUGCAUUUCAGGGGAGUUUAUUUCAAUGAAGAAACCAACAUGCCCCCACUUCCAAUCCACUUACUAACCAAAAAGUUAAUAAAGGUUGAGAAUUUAAUGACACUCAAACAGGCAUGCUCCUCGGAAUACCAAGGAGCGCAAGGUGCGUUCAAAGAUUCGAUGAUUCACC
rnacentral:misc_RNA from 1 species